UACGGAGGGUGCAAGCGUUAUCCGGAAUCACUGGGUUUAAAGGGUGCGUAGGCGGCUAGAUAAGUCAGAGGUGAAAGUUUGUCGCUUAACGAUAGAACUGCCUUUGAUACUGUUAAGCUUGAAAGUAGGUGAGGUUGGCCGUAUGUGACAUGUAGCUUUGUAAUGCAUAGAUAUGUCAUAGAACACCGAUUGCGAAGGCAGCUGGCUAACCUGACUUUGACGCCGAGGGACGAAAGCGUUGGUAGCUAACAGG
rnacentral:rRNA from 1 species